rnacentral:rRNA from 1 species
GACGAACGCUGGCGGCGUGCUUAACACAUGCAAGUCGAACGGAAAGGCCCUGCUUUUGUGGGGUGCUCGAGUGGCGAACGGGUGAGUAACACGUGAGUAACCUGCCCUUGACUUUGGGAUAACUUCAGGAAACUGGGGCUAAUACCGGAUAGGAGCUCCUGCUGCAUGGUGGGGGUUGGAAAGUUUCGGCGGUUGGGGAUGGACUCGCGGCUUAUCAGCUUGUUGGUGGGGUAGUGGCUUACCAAGGCUUUGACGGGUAGCCGGCCUGAGAGGGUGACCGGCCACAUUGGGACUGAGAUACGGCCCAGACUCCUACGGGAGGCAGGCGUGGGGAAUAUUGCACCAUGGGCGGAAGGCUGAUGCAGCAACGCCGCGUGGGGGAUGGCGGCCUUCGGGUUGUAAACCGCUUUCGCCUUUGACGAAGCGUGAGUGACGGUAAUGGGUAAAGAAGCACCGGCUAACUACGUG